rnacentral:lncRNA from 1 species
AGCUGCUGUCACAGGGCUGAUCAGCAGGACCUGCCUUCUGAGCUGCCACCUCCAGGAAACCCUGCAGGAGCUGUCCUUGGAGCCGUGGGAUCAGCUUGUGGACAAAACUGCUUUCAAUUUUUGCUGGCUGCUGUGUUGAAUUAUUUCCUUGUCUCUGCUGUUUUUCUUCCCGUGGCUGUUUACUGGUGCCAUCUCUGGAUGCAGUGCCUUUAUUUUCUGUCACCUUUGUGGUUAUUUCUCAUGAUAGAUCUGUGUUCCUUUCUCCAAAGGUUUUGGCCUUUGUCAUACAGUCUUUAAGUGCUGUUUCUUUUAGCUUUUCAGUACAUUGCAGUUGAAGGUGAUGGGUUAGUAUCAUGAGAAAAACAUUACUUGAUUCUUUUACAUGUUACGUCUUUAAAUCAGUGUUCAGCUUAAUCUGAGCACACUGAACUUGUGAAUUGUUGUUUCUGGCAUAGAUCAUCUAUAUUUACAAGUGUACCAGGGGAGAUCCAGUUUAAAUCUCAUGUGAUUAGAGGCAGGUCAAAACAUCCAAAAAAUCAUAACCUGGAAAAAAGCUGAAAGGAGGGAGCAGUGGUAUGCAUCAAUAAUAUUGCAUUCUUUGAAAGAAAUUGAUUAUUUCAUGAGAGAAGAAUGAUGGAGAGAGGCUACUUGCAAGAGCAUGGAGUGACAGGACAAAGGGGAAUAGCUUUAAACUGAGAGAAAGCAGGUUUGGAUUAGAUAGCAGGAAGAAAUUUUUUAUUGUAG